AACGAACGCUGGCGGCCGGCUUAACACAUGCAAGUCGAGCGCCCCGUAAGGGGAGCGGCAGACGGGUGAGUAACGCGUUGGAAUCUACCCAUCUCUACGGAAUAACGCAUGGAAACGUGUGCUAAUACCGUAUACGUCCUUCGGGAGAAAGAUUUAUCGGAGAUGGAUGAGCCCGCGUUGGAUUAGCUAGUUGGUGGGGUAAAGGCCUACCAAGGCGACGAUCCAUAGCUGGUCUGAGAGGAUGAUCGGCCACACUGGGACUGAGACACGGCCCAGACUCCUACGGGAGGCAGCAGUGGGGAAUAUUGGACAAUGGGCGCAAGCCUGAUCCAGCCAUGCCGCGUGAGUGAUGAAGGCCCUAGGGUUGUAAAGCUCUUUCACCGGUGAAGAUAAUGACGGUAACCGGAGAAGAAGCCCCGGCUAACUUCGUGCCAGCCGCCGCGGUAACAC
rnacentral:rRNA from 1 species